AGUGAUCUGCCUGCCCUGGCCUCACAAAGUGCUCGGAUUACAGGUGUGAGCCACCACGGCUGGCCUAGUUCAAUGUUAAACAAACUUUACUCAGCAAAACAUGUUUCAUGAGAUGUUCAUGAGAGGGUCUGUGGCAUGUGUGGAUGUGAGUGUGUGGUUUUUAGUGAUCAAAUGAAUUUGGGAAAUGCUUUAUACUUUUCCCUCUUGAUGAGUUAUAAUGUGUAUAUUUUAAUAUUAAAGGCUCUGACAAGUCCUGUAGCAGAGAAUUCUGUUUAACCAAGUGUGUCAACUUGAGUCCUCUGGGAAGCAAAUGCCAAAACGAAGUUAGACAUGCAAGAGACUUAUUGGGGACUCCUACAGGACAACCAGGGACAAUCAUCUUCACAGGAACCUAUCCUCCCUGCUGGGUGGAAAGAGCAUCGACCUGAGUCCAAUCAGCUACUUACAGGUCAACUAAGAAGAGGACUGAGAGUUAACCAUUGGAUUGAGCAACAUCAAGACCACCUGGAUAUUGGCCAAUGGUUUUACCCUGACCAUCUGCCCAGAGGGAUGGUAAGAGAGAAAGGCAGGACAGAAAUGAAAGGACAGUGAGAAUACACACCACUUUCAUGAAAUUUUGUUGUGAAAAGAAAGGAAGAGGCCCGGCAUGGUGGCUCACAUCUGUAAUCCCAG
rnacentral:lncRNA from 1 species